rnacentral:rRNA from 1 species
UUUUCAUCAGACAAUCUGUGUGAGCACUGCAAAGUACGCUUCUUUAAGGUAAGGAGGUGAUCCAACCGCAGGUUCCCCUACGGUUACCUUGUUACGACUUCACCCCAGUCAUGAAUCACAAAGUGGUAAGCGCCCUCCCGAAGGUUAAGCUACCUACUUCUUUUGCAACCCACUCCCAUGGUGUGACGGGCGGUGUGUACAAGGCCCGGGAACGUAUUCACCGUGGCAUUCUGAUCCACGAUUACUAGCGAUUCCGACUUCAUGGAGUCGAGUUGCAGACUCCAAUCCGGACUACGACGCACUUUAUGAGGUCCGCUUGCUCUCGCGAGGUCGCUUCUCUUUGUAUGCGCCAUUGUAGCACGUGUGUAGCCCUGGUCGUAAGGGCCAUGAUGACUUGACGUCAUCCCCACCUUCCUCCAGUUUAUCACUGGCAGUCUCCUUUGAGUUCCCGGCCGGACCGCUGGCAACAAAGGAUAAGGGUUGCGCUCGUUGCGGGACUUAACCCAACAUUUCACAACACGAGCUGACGACAGCCAUGCAGCACCUGUCUCACGGUUCCCGAAGGCACAUUCUCAUCUCUGAAAACUUCCGUGGAUGUCAAGACCAGGUAAGGUUCUUCGCGUUGCAUCGAAUUAAACCACAUGCUCCACCGCUUGUGCGGGCCCCCGUCAAUUCAUUUGAGUUUUAACCUUGCGGCCGUACUCCCCAGGCGGUCUACUUAACGCGUUAGCUCCGGAAGCCACGCCUCAAGGGCACAACCUCCAAGUAGACAUCGUUUACGGCGUGGACUACCAGGGUAUCUAAUCCUGUUUGCUCCCCACGCUUUCGCACCUGAGCGUCAGUCUUUGUCCAGGGGGCCGCCUUCGCCACCGGUAUUCCUCCAGAUCUCUACGCAUUUCACCGCUACACCUGGAAUUCUACCCCCCUCUACAAGACUCAAGCCUGCCAGUUUCGAAUGCAGUUCCCAGGUUGAGCCCGGGGAUUUCACAUCCGACUUGACAGACCGCCUGCGUGCGCUUUACGCCCAGUAAUUCCGAUUAACGCUUGCACCCUCCGUAUUACCGCGGCUGCUGGCACGGAGUUAGCCGGUGCUUCUUCUGCGGGUAACGUCAAUUGCUGCGGUUAUUAACCACAACACCUUCCUCCCCGCUGAAAGUACUUUACAACCCGAAGGCCUUCUUCAUACACGCGGCAUGGCUGCAUCAGGCUUGCGCCCAUUGUGCAAUAUUCCCCACUGCUGCCUCCCGUAGGAGUCUGGACCGUGUCUCAGUUCCAGUGUGGCUGGUCAUCCUCUCAGACCAGCUAGGGAUCGUCGCCUUGGUGAGCCGUUACCUCACCAACAAGCUAAUCCCAUCUGGGCACAUCUGAUGGCAAGAGGCCCGAAGGUCCCCCUCUUUGGUCUUGCGACGUUAUGCGGUAUUAGCCACCGUUUCCAGUAGUUAUCCCCCUCCAUCAGGCAGUUUCCCAGACAUUACUCACCCGUCCGCCACUCGUCAGCAAAGCAGCAAGCUGCUUCCUGUUACCGUUCGACUUGCAUGUGUUAGGCCUGCCGCCAGCGUUCAAUCUGAGCCAUGAUCAAACUCUUCAAUUUAAAAGUUUGAUGCUCAAUGAAUUAAACUUCGUAAUGAAUUACGUGUUCACUCUUGAGACUUGGUAUUCAUUUUUCGUCNNNNNNNNNNNNNNNNNNNNGA